rnacentral:rRNA from 1 species
GAUGAACGCUAGCUACAGGCUUAACACAUGCAAGUCGAGGGGAAACGCCAUCGAAAGCUUGCUUUUGAUGGGCGUCGACCGGCGCACGGGUGAGUAACGCGUAUCCAACCUGCCCAUCACUUGGGAAUAACCUUGCGAAAGUAAGACUAAUACCCAAUGACAUCCCACGAAGACAUCUGAAUGGGAUUAAAGAUUUAUCGGUGAUGGAUGGGGAUGCGUCUGAUUAGCUUGUUGGCGGGGUAACGGCCCACCAAGGCAACGAUCAGUAGGGGUUCUGAGAGGAAGGUCCCCCACAUUGGAACUGAGACACGGUCCAAACUCCUACGGGAGGCAGCAGUGAGGAAUAUUGAUCAAUGGGCGAGAGCCUGAACCAGCCAAGUAGCGUGCAGGAUGACGGCCCUAUGGGUGGUAAACUGCUUUUAUAAGGGAAUAAAGUGGGUCUCGUGAGACUUUUUGCAUGUACCUUAUGAAUAAGGACCGGCUAAUUCCGUG